AACGAGAGAAACGAGUGGUAAAGGAGAAAUAGAAACCACGCUGUGGACUAAGUAAGACGAGACGCUCUUCCCUUCCCGAAAAGAGGAAAGUUUGUGGACGCUGUAAUAUAUCGAUGUAAAAGAUUAACAAGAAGACGUAUCGAUAAGAGAGUAGAAGAUUUACACAUCCGUUAUAAUUGGACCUUGUUUCGCGAUGGAAUCGGUGCGACAGGCUGGUGUUUGAUGCAAAUCAUCGCUCUUACCGAGGCAUCGAAGCGCGAUGGACAAUCGACGAGGAUCUCGUUAAGGCGAUCGCAUCGGGGAAAUUGAUGGUGACGGACGAUCAGGCGAGGGGUCGAAUAGUACCGAAAAUAACGGAGGUAAGAGAGUCGGAGAGCAAGAGAAGGCAGGUAUAGAGAGAAGUGUCGCGUCAGUAAAUCGCGGGACAAUAUAAUCGACUGCUCGGUCUACGGCACCGUUCGAAGGCAAAGAGCGACAAAAGGUCCACGGACAAAGGAAGACAACGGGAAGGAGGCGAGAAUGUUGGCUGGACAGAGCGAAAAGUCAGCGUGAACGAAUAUUACUUUGGAUAGAAAGUUCGUAGAAUAUUCUCUCUUUCUCUCUCUAAUAUUAAAGAAUUAUUAUUAUUGGUGUCGCAAUUUCUUCGAUAUA